rnacentral:rRNA from 1 species
GUAGUCCACGCCCUAAACUAUGUCAACUGGUUGUCGGGGAAGAAAUUCCUUGGUAACGAAGCUAACGCGUGAAGUUGACCGCCUGGGGAGUACGGCCGCAAGGUUAAAACUCAAAGGAAUUGACGGGGACCCGCACAAGCGGUGGAUUAUGUGGAUUAAUUCGAUGCAACGCGAAAAACCUUACCUACCCUUGACAUGUACGGAACCCUCCAGAGAUGGAGGGGUGCCCGAAAGGGAGCCGUAACACAGGUGCUGCAUGGCUGUCGUCAGCUCGUGUCGUGAGAUGUUGGGUUAAGUCCCGCAACGAGCGCAACCCUUGCCAUUAGUUGCUACAUUCAGUUGGGCACUCUAAUGGGACUGCCGGUGACAAACCGGAGGAAGGUGGGGAUGACGUCAAGUCCUCAUGGCCCUUAUGGGUAGGGCUUCACACGUAAUACAAUGGCCGGUACAGAGGGCUGCCAACCCGCGAGGGGGCGCAAAUCCCAGAAAGCCGGUCGUAGUCCGGAUUGCAGUCUGCAACUCGACUGCAUGAAGCCGGAAUCGCUAGUAAUCGCGGAUCAGCACGUCGCGGUGAAUA